rnacentral:rRNA from 1 species
GAUGAACUCUGAUAGCAUGCUUAACAUAUGCAAGUCAACUGUGGCGGACGGGUGAGUAACGAGUAAAGAACUUGCCUCACAGAUAGGGACAACAUUUGGAAACGAAUGCUAAUACCUGAUACUGUGAGAGUGCUUUGCGUCCCAUUCGCUAUUUGGAGAGGUAACGGCUCACCAAGGCGAUGAUGGUUAGCCGGCCGGAGAGGGUGAUCGGCCACAAGGUGACUGGUACACUGCCCUUACUCCUACGGGAGGCAGCAGUGGGGAGUAUUGUACAAUGGACAAAAGUCUGAUCCAGCAAUUCUGUGUGCACGAUGAAGUUUUCGGAAUGUAAAGUACUUUCAGUUGGGAAGCGGUACCAACAGAAUAAGUGACGGCUAAAUACGUGCCAGCAGCCGCGGUAAUAC